GUUCUUUGAAAAGUAGAUAAACAAGAAAAUAAUAGCCAUUUUGGG
rnacentral:rRNA from 1 species